ACGAACGCUGGCGGCAUGCCUCACACAUGCAAGUCGAACGAGACCUUCGGGUCUAGUGGCGCACGGGUGCGUCACGCGUGGGAACCUGCCCUUAGGUUCGGAAUAACUCCCCGAAAGGGGUGCUAAUACCGGAUAAUGUCUUCGGACCAAAGAUUUAUCGCCUUUGGAUGGGCCCGCGUUGGAUUAGCUAGUUGGUAGGGUAAAAGCCUACCAAGGCGACGAUCCAUAGCUGGUCUGAGAGGACGAUCAGCCACACUGGGACUGAGACACGGCCCAGACUCCUACGGGAGGCAGCAGUGGGGAAUAUUGGACAAUGGGCGAAAGCCUGAUCCAGCAAUGCCGCGUGAGUGAUGAAGGCCUUAGGGUUGUAAAGCUCUUUUACCCGGGAUGAUAAUGACAGUACCGGGAGAAUAAGCUCCGGCUAACUCCGUG
rnacentral:rRNA from 1 species